UAGGCUCGAAUGGACUCCCCCUCCCUCUGCUUGAUAUUGAUGAGGGACUCCGAACCCUUCUGGGGGCGCCGGCUGCUGAUAAAAUGGGCCACAAAUUGGUGGCUCAUUUGAUCGAAGGAAAAGAUGGUACCCGAUUUCAGUGCCGAGUACCAGUUUCUCGCCGCUCCCUUCAAGGUGGAUGGGAAGGCUCGGCAUAGAAUGGCGUCGGGUGCACCAUGAAGCAGCAUCAUCAUCCGGAAGGCCUCCA
rnacentral:lncRNA from 1 species